rnacentral:rRNA from 1 species
CCUACGGGAGGCAGCAGUGGGGAAUAUUGCACAAUGGGCGCAAGCCUGAUGCAGCCAUGCCGCGUGUGUGAAGAAGGCCUUCGGGUUGUAAAGCACUUUCAGUCGUGAGGAAGGUGGUGUAGUUAAUAGCUGCAUCAUUUGACGUUAGCGACAGAAGAAGCACCGGCUAACUCCGUGCCAGCAGCCGCGGUAAU